AGGCUGCGAAGGAGACUGAGAGCGCAACAAGGCCCUGGACAGAUGCCCGCGCGGGGAAGGAAGGCUGGCUUAGGAGGGGGCGUCAGCUAUGGUUUAGCAGCUUCCAGCGACCGAAACCUACAUCACAGCCGCAGCACACAAUUCCAGGAAACCUGGUGCUCAAUAUUGAGAUCUCAGGAAUCAGGACCGGCGGCUGGGGUGAAAGCCUAGCGGUCAGAGCUUAGGAGUGAGGCAGAAGCUGUUAGAGACUCCUCGCAAGUGACCCCGGGGCUACAUAUGGAUGAUUCAAGAGGGAGUCUCCUCGCCAGAAAGCUCACAUGUUUCACUCUUUCUGGCCUUCAUACCAACCCAUUGUUAAAACUGGAAGUCCCUCCACCUGGGGCCACUGACUCUACUGUUUUCAGAUAGGAUGGGGACCCUGCACUGGAGACUGCUGUCUAGCCCCUGGGCAGGAGAGGCACAGACACUGCUACGCACGCGGAGCAGGGAUCACCAGCGCUUUGACUGACUUUGCUCGUCCAGGAGGCUGGGGACAUGCGUGCCCAUGCUCAGCCCACCCCUUCUGUAGACACAAUUGGUCGCCCAUUCUGUUUAUAGGAAGUCUUCCAUCCUGCACCAGCAGCUGUCCCUAGACAGGGAUUGGGAGACAUGCAAGUUGCUUGGCUUCCUAUUACCUUGUGUUGAAAACACAAUAGGCUUUGGGAUCAGGAGUUCAUUCCAGUUAUUCUAAUGUUAUUUACUAGCAGUGUGCCCUCGUGCACAUUAUCAAACUCCUCUGACUCUUGGAAUCCUCAUUUUUCAAUAAUAACUCACAAAGCUGUCAAGCCUAAGGGAUCUAACAGCUCGAACAGCACCUGGAACAGAAGCAAUAGCCGCCACUCAGAGGUUACUUCUUCCUUCUCCACCUUCUCUGGAUCACCUCCCUACCUCAUCCUCAAUCUAACGCUGGAAAUAUUGGAUAUGGGGUAGGUCACCAAAUGUUGCCAGAAGACUCAAAUUAUGCCACCCAUAUCUCAGCUGGGAAGGGCUUACCGUGGCCUGACUCUCCUCAGGGUCCAAGUCCCCAUUUAUGAUGUCCAGGUAGAAACACUUGUUUCUGACACAUAGUAGGCGCUGGAAAAUGUUAGUCAAAUGAACGAGGUCUGGUGUGGAGAGAAGAGAAAUCUUGGGAGAGUCAUUUAAGGGGGUGCCCAGUUGUCCUCAUAAAAAACACUAUCAUCAUCAGGGUGACCAAAGCAGACAUCAUAGGCAGGAGGUGGAGUCAGAGGCUCUAAUCUGGGGACUGCCGCCAAGCUCUGCAGAUCAGGAGCAGUGGACACAGCCCGUGGUCCCCGAAGCCGAAGGUUGAUUGGAGCUCUUCCAGGGCUUCCUUCCUGGGCCAUGGACCCCUCUGAGGCCAUUCGCCUCUGUUCCAGUUUGGCUCUCCUGGACCCCUCUGGAUGGCUAGGUUGUUCGUCCUCAGGUGCUGGGGAUAUCACAACAGUGCUGUAGGGGGGUGGUUGGUCCAACUCUUGGGGGCGGCACUGGGAUUCUAGUCCCACCACGGCCUCUUCAUAGACUGGCACUUCAAAGGCUUCAUUGUCCCUGAGGGAAGAGAAAUAAGGCCAUUGGUGGCUUCCGUGAAAGAAGCCCUUUUUCCCUUUUUUUUGUCUGCUAUGGGCAAAAGAUCCUCUGUUGGCCUCUGACCCCUCCUCCCGCUGAUGCCAAUGACAGGAAACCAGAGACUCUAUGCCUCAGAGACUACAGGGAGAGAGGGAGGAUGGGCCCAAGGUGUAUUCCUCUUAUGAUGCCCACCCUUAACUCACCGUGCAUUGCCUGAGGGCCCUGGGCUCUCAGUCUGCAUUGAUUGGAGCUGGGACCGAAGCCCCCAUUCCAGAAACCGGACCAGGAGAUAGGCAAACAAGAAGAAGCCACCCAAUGUGAGAAAGAAAUAAGCAACGGGGGUGAUGUCCGUCUUUAUGCCCAGCAAAGCCAGCCCCAGUAGGAAGGAGGCGCAGCACAGGAGGAGAAGCGGCUUCUCCAGUCUCCCCAGUUCUUCAAUCUCAAAUCAAAUAAAUCAUCUGUAGAGUCCCCUCCAGUUCCGAAAUUCUCUCUAUGUCUCGGAGUGUGUGGAAUAGCCAGGAAACCAGCCCAGGAGCUUUGACUCCCAGCCAUUCUGUA
rnacentral:lncRNA from 1 species